rnacentral:rRNA from 1 species
CGAAGGAUCCAAGCGUUGUCCGGAUUUACUGGGUUUAAAGGGUGCGUAGGCGGACUUUUAAGUCAGUGGUGAAAGCUGGUAGCUUAACUAUCAAAUUGCCAUUGAAACUGAAAGUCUCGAGUAUGGUUGAGGUGGCCGGAAUGUAUCAUGUAGCGGUGAAAUGCUUAGAUAUGAUACAGAACACCAAUUGCGAAGGCAGGUCACUAAACCAUAACUGACGCUGAGGCACGAAAGCGUGGGGAGCAAACAGGAUUAGAUACCCUGGUAGUCCACGCCCUAAACGUUGAUAACUCGCUGUUGGCGAUAUACAGUCAGCGGCUAAGCGAAAGCGGUAAGUUAUCCACCUGGGGAGUACGGUCGCAAGAUUG